GCCAUUCCCUGAGGAAGACGAAUUCUCAAAGGUUGUGGAAGUUGAGUUCUGCAUAUUUCACUCAAUGUCUCUAUCAGCACACGGAAAUAAUGUACUUCACAGAUUUGGCGGAGGAAGGAAUGAUGAUGACUUCAAACUGUAAUCAUUCUGCUGAUUUCUGGUAAUUUAUGUUACAAAAUAGUUGACCCCAUGGAAGAUUCUAGGGCUU
rnacentral:misc_RNA from 1 species